GAAGACUGAAGUAAUGCAAUGUCGUAAUUACUGUAAUUUCGAGAUGAAAACACGUGACAUUCUCAAAGUUGUUCACAUCCUUGGACUGGGAAUUAUAUGUUUCAAUGGCAACACUAUUACUGGCCAAACAAAUCUACAGCAGUCAGGUGGUACAAGUAGGAGCUCUUAGGACAUUCCCAGUUUACAAGCUGCAAAUCUGAUUUCCAUGAGGACGUGAACGCUUUUUAAAAGUUGAAAUCUCAUAAUUACAGUAAAUUCGACAUGGUGUGAAUGCACCUUGAUACACAACCAAACAUACACACAGUAGACCUUUAGCUUUUUUCAGUUCAAAUUAAUUAUGUUAGUCUAAAACUGCCACUUGAAAUUUCACAUUAUAUGCAUUUAUUUAUUUAGAUUUAUCUGGUCACCCACCCUGUUUCUUCCACACAUCUCUCUUUAGAAUAAAUGGAGAAUAACUGGGAGAGACUUCAUUUAUUUACUCUAACUUUGCCCCACUGGUCCUUCUAUGGUACAUCCCAUUCCACAGUGCUCCGGCAACCAUCAGGUGUUCCAUUUGCUUCCCUCAGUGCUCCCUGGGAAAUGUGGUUUGCAAGACACCCACACAAUCAGGAUGCUCAUUUCACAGUUCAUGCAAUGGGAUUUAUGUCGUACAUUGAGUUUUUUUCUCUCUCUCUUCUUUGCAUUAAAGCUUGUUUCUAAACUACUACUCAGAAAUCCAGCCCUCUUUCUGUGCGUCUGCCUCCUGGAACAGUCUCUGGAAAUGACACCUGCGACACAGCCGCAAUGGCUAUAAAAUGACAAAUUCGAAGAGGGGAAGGAAAAAAAAGUGAGAAUAAAAGAAAAAGCAGAAAAAAGUGUGUGAUGGGAGAGCAGGGUUUUCUCAGCGCUGGUAGGAGCAGAUGCGUUGCAAACGGAGAAGACGAAGAGGCUGGCUCGAAGAAGAGCUAGAGAGAGACAGAAGACAGAGAAAGAGGGGGCCUCCAUCAUAAAGAAUGUAAUACUGCCACUGUUGAACAGCAGCAGGGAGCUACAGGCAGAAGCCCUUCAGAGUCUUGAUCUGCGAAAGGCGAGAUGGGCAUAGAUCUCAGGCGAGAGAGGCUGAAAAAUGAGAGCCGGGCAGAAAGGUGUCCUUGGGAGACCCUGUAGCGUUUUAUGAGGCAA